UGCUAUAUGUCAGUUGCAUCUCAGUGAAGUUGGGAAAAAAAUAAGCAUCUCAUUCUUUUACCAGGACAACCUGUGCAGAGGAGUAAGUUGCUGAUGAUCAAACUUAAGGCUGUUUUAACACAUGAAACAGUGAUGAAAUCCUAGAGGGUGUAUUUCAACAGCCAUGGUCCCCUCUACCACUUGCAUUCCUUUAAGUUCAUGUGAGAAAGAGGAUGAGAGUCUGGUGAGAGUGCAGUCAGUCUGGGAGAGUCAAAUGCAGUUUUUUCUUCUAGGUAGAUGGGGCCCUGGAUAAUUGGACCCAGGUGCCUGGAAGAGAGGCCACAAAGCUUUCAAGGUAUAAUCAAGCCUACUUAAGAUUAUAAACAGCACGUGUCCUUUGCUUGUCAGAGCGCUCUCAGCCUCACCUCUGACAGGACUCUCCAGUUCUUUCCCUUCAAACAAAAGUCCUCGCCUCCUCCUGCUGUUUCCACAACCCAGUUCCCAUGACUUUUGUUCUUCCCACUGCUGAAGGGAUUCUGCUUCAAUCCCUUUUCCCAAUCCCAGAAUCAAUCAGAUGCAUCUCCAGUGUCAAGGAUUCCUGGCAGGAGCCCCAAAUGGGCAAGAGUGGAGUCCAGGUCCUCUGCACAGAUGGAGUUGGCCCUUGGCGGCCCUGCACAACACAAGAUCACGGCAGGGCCACGAUCUUGGCUAACUCCACAGUGGCUGUCAAGCUCGCAGUACAAUGCCUGGCAUACUGGAGUUCAAAAAACCACACCAAGGACUCAUCACAGCUGACACCUGACGCUCACAGGUUAAGAACAUGCAAUUUUGAUGAAUCUGCCCAAACUUCAGCACCCAUGAAAUUCAAGUCUUUCAUUUUCUGGAAGCUCAAAUUUGAAUUUCCUCUUUGUGAGGCUAAUCCGUGGGAAAUAGUCAUUGAGCUGAGUCCACUGUUCAAUUUCAAAGCAACUUGGUGUAUUUGGACAGGGAUAUAAACUCUCCUCAGGGGACAGAAGGAACUCCUAACAUUCUCACUUAUACCCUGCUGUAAUUUCUGGAGGAAAUUAUAUGCUAUGCAGUGGUCCCCAAACUUUUGACCCCAGGGACCGGUUUCGUGGAAGACAACUUUUCCACAGAUCAGGCGGAGGGGGAUGGUUUUGGGAUGAUUCAAGUACAUUCUAUUUAUUGUGCUCUGUCCAUGGAAUUCUCCAGGCAAGAGUACUAGAGUGGGUAGCCAUUCCCUUCUCCAGCGGAUCUUCCCGACGCAGGGAUCAAACCUGGAUCUCCUGCACUGCAGACAGAUUCUUUACCAUGUGAGCAUCAGGAAAGCCCUGACUAACUUUUAUUUCCAUUAUUAUUACAUCAGCUCCACCUCAGAUCAUCAAGUGUUAGAUCCCGGAAGUUGGGGAUCCCUGCUAUAGAGGCUAGGAACCCAGGAGGAGCCUGGGAGCCCAGCAGGCAGCAAGCACAGUGUGCAUUUGGGGAUGGAGUGACCCUGCCGUGAUCUGUGCAUGAGGAGGGAAGGACACUCCUGAGCAGCCAUAAACUGCUAGGGCUUAGCUGCUAACCUCUACGAUCUCAAACCAUGAAAAGUCUUUGUGUCUCUCACUCUCCCACCUCUCUCCCACCUGUGCCGAUGCUGGACUGCCUCUGGAUCCCAUCUGUGAACUUUAGUCCCUUGAUAUUCCCCAUCUCAGUUCAUCUGAUACAUGACCUUCCCGAAGUAAGAGGCCAUGGUCAGCAAAUAAGUGGCCUCUCUGGCCUCAUCCACGCCCUUACCUCAACGCUUCUGCUUGCAUAUGCCCAACCUUGCUCAGCGGCACUGUCUUCUUUAGAUUCCUGCUCCUGUCACUUAUGCAACCUACAGAAAGCCUGGGCUUCCCCAGUGGCUUAUCAGGUAAAGAAGCCACCUGCAAUGAAUGACACACAGAGAUGCAAGUUCGAUCCCUGGGUCAGGAAGAUCCCCUGAAGAAGGAAAUGGCAACCUGCUCCAGUAUUCUUGCCUGGAAAAUUCCAUGUACAGAGGAGCCUGGCAGGCUACAGUCUAAAUGGUCACAAAAGUCAGACAGGACUGAGUGACUAAGUACACAAACACACAGAAAGCCCAGACUGCUUAGUUCCAUUACACAGGAUGCUUUCCAAUCUCUCAGGAGCCCUUUCUACUUCUAAAUUAUCUUUCUAAUUUGCUCCUAUUGAAAUAAGUCAAUGUAUGCAAAGGGCCUAAAGAACUGAAGAGCCUCCUGAUGUCAGUGAAAGAGGAGAGUGCAAAAGUUGCCUUAAAGCUCAACAUUCAGAAAAUUAAGAUAAUGGCAUCCAGUCCCAUUACUUCACGGCAAAUAGACAGGUAAACAGUGGAAACAGUGACAGACUUUAUUUUGGGGGCUCCAAAAUCACUGCAGAUGGUGAUUGCAGCCAUGAA
ensembl:lncRNA